rnacentral:sRNA from 1 species
AUGGAAUUGCAAGGGAACAGUAGGCGUAAUAGUAAGAAGAAAAAGAUCGUUUUUGCUCCAUCAGAUAAUAAUAAUAGGAGGCCGUGGUCGGAACUCCCUGAGGCUUUGCUUCAUCAGAUAACUAAUUGGUUAGGUGCUAUUGAUUAUCUCAUUUUUGCCUGUGUGUGUAGAACUUGGAGGCUGUACGCUUUGGCAAACAAGCAAGGGUUUAUGGCAUCCCAACCUCCACUUGUAGUUCUUUUCUUACAUCUGGGAGCGAAAAAUUUUUGUUACUUCUAUAGCAUUGUUGAUCAAAGGUUGUUCAAGGCAUUACUGCCUAGCCUUAUUGGCAAAGAGCUUUUUGGGGUUUCUUUUGGGUACUUGAUCAUCGUAGACAAGAAAAAGAUUUCAAGUUCUGAAAUUUGGCUUCUGAAUCCCUUUACGAGACAUGAACUUUUUUUUCCUAGCCCUCCCAAUCGGUUUCGAUAUGUCACCCUUGCUUCUUUAGCUACUCCUUUGCCAGAGAUCAUAAUCAUAUGUUUUUCCCAUGAAUGCCUACAGUUCCGUAGAUCCACGGAUGUCAAUUGGACUCUAUAUAAAUAUGAUAAUCCUCGAAUGAUUUACAGUUCAGCUCUCUUCAACGGUAAGAUAUAUAUAUCAAAUUAUGAAGGCAUUAGGGUGCUAAAUCUGAAUUCUCUUUAUCCUCAUUUGACCUUGCUUUAUGUAAAAAGCAAUGCAAAUUUGUAUCCUGGAUUGUGGCGGUUACUGGGUUUUGAUAAACAGCUCCUUGUGAUUUGUGGUCGUGGAUAUCCUGAUUAUGAAGUUUAUGAGCUAAAUUUUUUGAAGAUGGAAUUGGUGAAGAUUCCUAACUUGGGAGAUCAAGCAUUGUUCCAGGAUGGCAGUAAGUUCUCAGCAAUUAGCAACAUAACAAGUUGGGAAGCUGUUGGGAUCUCGCCUUCUAAUAAUUGCAUAUACAGUAUUUGCGAAGAUGGUUCUGACUACUCUGUGAAGUUCUUUGAUGGUAGAUGCCCCCAGACUUUCCCAAUCUUGCGAGUAGGACGUUACAUACGCCCUGGAUGUAAUAAAUUCUGGUAUUUUCCUCAUCAGUCUUGUCGUGUGGAUUCUCUCUGUGAAGACUAGUUUGGAUUUCUUCUUAUUCAUCAACCCUACCAUUUAUGUAUUGAACUUAUCCUCUAGACAGGAGUUUUGAGGGGUUUUAUUUAUUUUGUUCUUCUUCAUUUCCCUUAUUUACUUUUUCAGUACUUUUUUUUUUUUCUUUCAUUUAUUAUGAUAUGCUCAUCGAAGAUAAUUUCCUGCAAUUAGGGUAGCUAAAGUUUACUGCCGCUAUUUUUGGGGCUUUUAAAAUAUUCUUAAAAGUUUUAGAUCAUUGUCACAAUGUCACAUUUAUCACUAUUGUCAUUAUUUAUUAUUGGCUUGAUUAUUUAUUCCUUAAUUAAAUUAAUGAACUUGGAACAAAAAAUGUCAUCCAUUAACGCUCUUAGAAAUAAGAGUAAUGUUACAGCCACAAACUAUCUUAUAAUAUUUUUACAAAUUAUUAAUGUAACAAAUUCUUACUAGUCCUAAUAUGAGUCUACCACUUACAUCAUAUUUAUGUUUAUUAAUGACUAUUUGAAAAUUACUAAAGCCACAUGAGUAGUUUGUAAAAAUGAUUAAAUAAUUUGAAUCUGUAACAUUACUCUGAAAGCAAAUACUAAAAAAAAAAUUAUAAAAAAACGUAACUAAAAAGCACCAAAAUUUGUAGUAUAUUUUAAUUUUGGAAUUAUAUUGUUUAAUAUGGUAGCACCUUAUUUUUUUCCUCUCAUUUUCACAAGGUGCCGAAAUAUAUGAAUACUAGUCCUUGAUAGUAUUUAAAAGACAUAACACAUAAGUUAGCAAAAGGGUGAUGAGAACAAAGCAAUAUCAAUAUUUUUUGACUAAUUUUCACUAACUGUUGUGUUAAGGGAACUGUAAGAUUUGAGCUUGAAGAGUGAACAACAAUGGUGGAAGUUACGAGAGAGAGAGAGAGAGAGAGAGAGAGAGAGAGAGAGAGAGAGAGAGAGAGAGAGAGAGAGAGAGAGAGAGAACUCUAGUAUAACUUUAUAAAAGCUACGUAAAAAAUUGUCAAGUGCCAUGUAACUUAAUUACUUAGCAUUUUUUAUUAUUUUCAAUAAAGACAUCUAUAGUUUUAUUCCCACCCCUGACUAUCGAUUUGUCAACAAAAUUGAAAAAAUUAGUAUUAAUCAUGUCAUUAAUAAAGCCACUUUAAAUCAAAAAUUUGAUCUUAUUACUUAACAAAUCAAUAGAUUCUGGAGAAUUUGUCCAAGUGUCAUUUCCCCUACAAUCUUCUUCGAUGGUAAGAGAAAGAGAAAGAAAAAAAUUAUUCAUAAAAUGGUUUUUUCCUCUCUUCCAACUAUGUAAUAUUUAAUUAUAAAGUUGCAAUAGGUUUUUCAUUAAAAAUAAAAAAAAAUAAUAAAAAAAGUUGCUCCAGGCAGGUUUAACUUGAACUCAUCAUAUAUAUUGACACCUUGAACCCAUCUUAUAUUUACACACCCUGACAUGCACAAGCAAAGAAUUGGUAAUUUUCAAAAAGGAAAAAAAAAAUGGAUAGGUAAAUACUCCGUACUAAAUAGUGGGGACGAAAGUAUUCAAAUUUCAAAGCAUAGAUAAAAAGCACCACAAAGGUAACCAUCACAAUUGUGCUAUCCCUUAAAUCCAAAAAAUUGAUACAUUAUAAAUGUAUGAUAAAAAGAUUAAAGUCUUGUAAUUUAAUUAGUUGUUACCUUGGUCUUUUCCAUGAGAUCUAGGUUUAAAAUCACUCGUCUCCCAACUAUUAAUGUAUCAAAAAACAUUCCAUUAAAAAGAAACACAAUAAAUAAAGUUUUUGUAAUUCUUUAGGGGAAAAUAGUAAUUUAAUUUAGAUUUAUCUUUUUCUUUUUUUCUUUUUCUUUUUUUUUUGCUGAGUAUUUUAGAUUUAUCAUACUCUCAUUGUCUUUGUAAGGUUGAAUUUAAUCAACCAUUUAAUUGGCUUUAUUCCGUGACCAAUUUGCUUGUAAUUUAGCACUUAGCAACCCUGUAUUUAGGUGGGAAAAUUGUAAGGGUAGUGUGUGAGAAGAUGUGAAGAAAAGCUAAAGAGUGUGCAAGAAAAACAGAGGCUCGCGGCUAGGGCUCGCGGGUGGAUCGCGACUGGCAAGCCGCCAAAAGCUAGCACGUAAGAGGCACACUGGGAAGCUGAAGGGUCGCGCCAGCUGUCACGCUGCAGGACAAAAGUUCCAGACUGGCCAGGCCGUUACGUCGCGACUUGGACAAGCCGCGAGACCAAGUUGCCAACUUGCCCUGUUUGGCAAAAACUGACGUUUUGCAUUCCCUUCUCACCCUACUAUAUAUACACCCUAUACCCAUCAUAUUGUGAGAGCUUCCAGAGAGAAUUUUGUGAGAGAAAACCCUAGAGAAAAACAAGAUUGUCUCAUCCCCAAUCUUCAUCUAAAGAGACUCUACAAAUUCCUCUACUCUCUUCCUCUCCAUUGUCAUACCCUUGAGAGGUUAUUUACCAAACCCUUAUCUCACCACACCCACGUUUGUGAGAAGGUCCAUUUGGUGCUUAGGGAAGCAGUUUGGGAAGGAACCAAUAUACAUUGGUUGAUACUAUGGUCAAGUAGCGAAAUCCGGCAAGCUAAAGAAGAAAUAGGUUCGGCAUAACCUCGUUGAAGUAAGAAGUUUGGAGGGCUUAGGUACUUGGGUAGAUUAGGCUUGGAGGGUCUUCUGCUGUUCAUGUAUCCCAACUAUAUUCUUUAGUGAAUUUUAUCACCGCUUGGAGGGCGGCGGAGAAGUUUUACGCCGAGGACUUCGGUUUCCUCUUCGAUAACACAUCGUGUGUUGUCCGUGUAUUUGCAUCUCUCUUUCCUUUAUCUUUGCCUUAUAUUUACUGCUGUGGAUGUGUUUACAUUUGGUUUAGAUUGUUUUAUCAAUUCUAUUAUAAGCUUGUUAUCAUAUUCCGCACAUUAAUUGUUUGAUAUAAAGUUUGAAUUGGUAUUUUUGUAUCUGAGAGUCUAAACAUUCAAGGGUGUUUCAUACCCAUAUUGAACCUUCAGUCUUAUUUUGUUUUAAUUUUUGCUAUUCCAAAUUAUUUGUCUUAUUUUAAAAGUAAAUGGUAACUAAUUUAUUGACUUCCUAAUAUAUCAAUGCCCUUUAACAUUUUCAAAAUUUUAAGUUUAAAUAUUUCAAAGAUUAUAUGCACAAUUAUAAAACUUUUUUUUUGAAACUUGUUCUUUCUAUAAGAAAAAAUAAAUAGAUUUCGAAGCUGGGAAAAUUCACAAGAAAUGACUAAUGAGGUCACUAUUACCCAUGUUGUUUGGGCUUGGUGGAGUGAGGUCACAAUUAUUAAACUCACAGAUAAGUUUUGUUACAUUUUUUCUAUAGAAAACCAUUCAUUAAUUACAUUUUUUUUCUUUUAUCGAAAAAAUUUGUCCUUCAUUUUUUUUUUUUUUUAUGAAAAUGUUUGAGCAACGGAACUGGUAGCAAGGUGAGUACUAUUUAUUUACCCCACAGACCACAGCCAUUUGAAAUUGAAAGGAUAUAAUUGCAGUUUGUUUAUCGAAAAAAUGUUCUUACCGAUUAAUCACAUUCUUUUUUGUUUCAAUAUCCAACAUAGCCUGGAAUAAAAUGCAAAAAAAACAUAGCCUGGAAUAGUCCGAAAUUGAGAAAUUAAAAUGGCCGGGAUUUGUCCGACCCAUCAAAACAUACCGAAAUUAGAUUGAAACUAAAUAAGAGGGGUAAGUGCACUAAAUUAAGCAUUGAAAUGGAACGGAAUUUAAAAUUAUGAUUUCUAUAAACCAAAUGACCAUUUGAAAUAUACAAAGAGUGUUUCAAGUUUUACACCUAAAGAGAUUUAAAGAAAAGUAUUUUCAAAAUUAUAAAUUUGUUUAAAAUAAAAACAUAAUAAAAAAUUAGUAUUAAGAAAAUGAGAGAUACUACUACGUUUACAACAAUUUUACAACAAAUUAUAGUUGAUUAAUUGUUAUUGGUUCAAAUUUGAAGCUAACACUAAGAUUACUUUUUUACCCCAACAGUAACAACUAGUAACAACCUGCUAUUUGUAAUUUGUUGUAAAAAUAUUGUAAACAUAUCAUUUCUCUAAGAAAAUUACAUCUAUUGUUUUGUUUUGGCAACUGGCUAGUGCCUAAAUAUAAGGGAUAUGGAUGAGAGAUUAUAGUAUGAGUUUUUUUAUUUUCAAAUCCAUAAUAAGGAACAAGGGAUUUGAAAAAAAAAAUGUCAAAAAAAUAUUAAGAGAUGUGAUGAGAUUUAUAUUAAAAAUAUAUAUAUAUUUCACCCAUGAGAAAGAGAGGGAGGUAAAGAGAGGAAAUUUAUUUAUGUUUUGUUUUGUAAACAACUAGUGCCUAUAUGUAAGGGACAGGGAUGAGUAGUUAUAGUAACAGUUUUACUUUUAUAGUGUGAUUUUUUAUUUUUAUUUUCAAAUUCAAAAAAAGGAAGAAGAGAUUUGAAAAAAAAAAAAAAGUGAGACCCAGGAGUAAGGAAACCGCAAAUUAAAAAAGAAAAAAAAGAAAUAGGUAACUGAGUGAUUGAAGAAAUUUGGAGGAGUUGGAGCAGUUCAAAAUUAGAAAUUCAGAUAUUUUCUUGCACUUUCUUUGACAACCAUACAGAGUAAAUUUUUUAGUAUAAUUGUUCAUUAAGGAGCAAUUCUAAUCAACCCGUUUGAUUUCUUCAUCAAAUUAUAGAGAAAACUUCACCCUAGUUCUCUCUCUCUCAGCCCUCUGUUCUCCUCCACACUGUUUUUGGCAUUGCAAGGUAAGCUAUACCCUCAAAUUUUUAAUAUAUCAAUCCAAAGCAUGUAUUAUUAUGGUUGAUGAUCAGGCAUUAAAGGUUCUGAUUAGUGAUUACGUCUGAUAUUAAUUAUGAUGAUUCUUGUCAUUUUUUUUUUCUGAGAAUGCUGUUUAUUUUUUAAUUUUUGUUUUCUACUCUGAGAGAGAGAGAGUAUUGUUUGGGUGAGGUUUCUAGUGUUUUGUUUUAGGAAGUAAAUUUUUGGGAGCAAUAAAGCUUCAAUCUUGGAGGCUGAUGCAUUGACAUGAACUGCACCUGCUGCAAUGUUUGGUUGCAAAGAAAGUGCCAGAAAAGAUGAAGACCUUUUUAUAAUAAAAAAAUAUUAAUGAUUUUUAUUAUUAUUGAGAUGCAGAAGUGGCUUUGUUAAUAAUCAAAGUAAAUUAUUAUUAUCAUAUUAUAUUAGUAGUGUGAGCAUUCCGUCAAUUAUGUCAGCAAUUUUUAUGAGAUGACGGCAUGGAUCAAAAUGAAAAUUUUUGAAAAACUCAAGGAUAACAUUUAAUUCUUUUAAAAUAUAGGCCAAAAUGAAAAUAUCCCCAAAAUACUUGGAUAUUGGCCAAGUAUUGCUUAAUAUGCUGUCUAGUUUACAUGUAGAGUAUAACGUAUGGCAAGUUCUGGAAAACUGGACUAAAAAAAAAAUAGUAAGACAUAUUUAUGAAUGUAAAAAAAAUUAGAUUUCAUAUAGUGUCAUAUGUGCACAUUAAUCUUUAUUUUCUCUUUUCGUUAAGGUAGCCACGGUAUUGCUAGGGGACUGUGACAUAAAUCUUAAGGGGCUUAGAAGUAAGAAGAAAAAGAUGGUUGACAAUAGCGAUUGGAGGCCAUGGUCAGAGCUCCCUGAGGCUUUGCUUUAUCUCAUAACGAAGUGACUAGGUACUAUAGACCAUCUUAUGUUUGGCUGUGUCUGCAGAAUGCAGAGGCUGUAUGUUGUGGCAUACAAGCAAGAGUUUAUGGCAUCCCAACCUCCACUUGUUAUUUUUAUGUCAAACCGUUCUAGGAGAGCUUGUUACUUCCAUAACAUCUUUGAUAGAAGGAUGUUAGGAGUACAACGCAAUACUCCCCAACCUUGUUGGCAAAUUGUGUUCUAGGAUCUCAUGUGGGUACUUGGUCCUAGAAGACAAGUAACUUAUGGUAAAUUCUCAAAUUUGGCUUCUAAAUCCUUUUAAAAGACAUGAACUCCGUUAGUCCGUUUCCUUAGCCCUCCCCUAGAACAUGAUAGUGUCAUCCUUGCUUCAUUAGUGACACCUUUGCCAAAGUUUGUAAUCAUUGCCUUUUGUAGAUAUGGCUCAUAUCUACAGUUUCUUAGAUCCAAUAGUGCCAAUUGGACUUAUUGUGAAUUUGUGAUUGUAAUCAUCACUGGACAUUUGUUGAUUAAGCCACGUUUAAGGGUAAAAUGUAUGCAAUAACAACUGAUUCUGGAAUAGGAGUAGUAAAUCUAAAGUCUCAUCCUUAUGUGACCCCAUUGGAAGUUAAAUCCAUUCCAAAUUUGAAAGGUGAACUGCAGUUACAGGGUACUGAUGAGCAGUUCCUGUUGAUUCAUGCAAUUGGAAAUAAUUAUGAAGUUUAUGAGCUAAAUUUUUUGAAGUUCAAAUGGGUGAGAAUGCAGAACUUUGGAGCACAAGCAUUGUUUCUGGAUUAUAAUAUGGGCUUAGGGUUUAGCAAUAUAACCAGAUAGAAAGAUAGUGAACAACCUUCUAAUGGCAUGUGCGGUUUUGGACAUGAUAGCAAAGACAACUGCUUCCAAUUCGUGGAUGGUAGACACGGCCAGUCUUUCUCCUUUCAUUGGAAGAAAGUGUAUGCCAGAUACUUUCUGAGUUGAACCAUCCUGGUAUUUUCCACAUGAGUCUUUCAAUAUGGAUUCUCUCUCAAGACUAGUUAGGUUCUUCAUCCCUAUCAUUUGUAUAUUGAAUGAAUCAUUCAUUCACUUGGACAAGAUUUUGAGGGUUAUAUAUAUUUGUUGCUCUUCAUUUCCCUUAUUUUUGACUUUAACUGUGUUUGAUGUCAUUCUCAUUGAAGAGAAUUUCCUGCAACCAGGGUCUCUUUUGUUAAAUGCUGCCCGUUUUUAUGUUUCUUAAAUAGUAAACCUCUGCAGAUUGUACAAUCUAUUUUGUGAUAAGGAAAUCCAACAAUGGUUAUUCUCUUCUUGUCAACAAAAUCAUCUUCAAAUUUUUAGAUCAUUGUUACAUAUACCACUAUUGUCAUUGUUAUUGUCUUGAUUAUUUAUUUCUUUGUAAAAUUAAUGAACUUGGAUCAAAAAACUUCUAUCCAUUAAUGAGCUUGGAAGCAAAUAAAUAAAAUAUGUUGCACAAGCGGUGUUAAAAACAAUUCAAGUGGUGUUUAUUUAGUGUUAUAUGUAGGCAUUAAUCUUUUUGUUUUCUAUUUGUGUGAAGGUAAUCAUGGUAUUGCAUUUGCAAGCGAACAGUGAUGUCAACCUCAGUAGACCCAGGAGUAAGAAGAAAAAGAUGGUGGGCGAUAGUAAUUGGAGGCCAUGGUCGGAGCUCCCUGAAGCUUUGCUUCAUCAGAUAACGAAGUGGUUAGGUGCUAUAGAUUAUCUCAUUUUUGCCUGUGUGUGUAGAACUUGGAGGUUUUACGCUUUGGCAUACAAGCAAGAUUUUAUGGCAUCCCAACCUCCACUUGUUCUUUUCUUUUCACGGCAAUGGAAGAAAUUUUGUUACUUUUAUAGUAUUCUUGAUCAAAGGUGGUACAAGGCAUUACUACCUAUCCUUGUUGGCAAAGUGUGUUUUGGGAUUUCUUCCGGGUACUUGAUAAUGGAAGACAAGAAAAAGAGGCCAGAUUCUCAAAUUUGGCUUAUGAAUCCCUUUACAAGACAUGAACUCCGUUUUCCUAGCCCUCCCAAUCUCUUUCGUUGUGUCACCCUUGCUUCUUUAGCUACUCCUUUGCCAGAGUUGGUAAUCAUAUGUUUUUCCAGUCAAUGCUUACAGUUCCGUAGAUCCACAGAUGUCAAUUGGACUCUAUAUAAUUAUGAUGAUCGUAAUAUGAUUGCUGAUUUGGCUGUCUUCAACAGUAAGAUAUAUAUUAUAUCAAAUAAUGCUGACAUUAGGGUACUAAAUCUGACUUCUCAUCCUCAUUUGGCCUUGCUGAAAGUAAAAGGCACUGCAGAUUUGAAUUGUGGAUCAUGGAAGUUACUAUGUUUUGAUAAACAGCUCCUUGUGAUUGGUGGAAUUACUGAUCAUGAAGUUUAUGAGCUAAAUUUUUUGAAGAUGGAAUUGGUGAAGAUUCCUAACUUAGGCGAUCAAGCGUUGUUCCAGGAAGACUCUUGUGAGUUCUCAGCAAUUAGCAACAUGGCCAAAUGGGAAGAUAGCAAGCACCCUUCUAAUUGCAUAUACAGAAUUCGGAGUUUUUUCUACUCAAUCAGCUCAAUAAACAGACGGAAAGGCAGCAAAGGCUUCCAGUCUAUCGAAAUUUCGCAAGGAAAACGUUUGCCACAUGAUUUCCUAUCCUAUAAUUCAUUCUGGUAUUUUCCGCAUCUGUCUUGUCGUGUGGAUUCUCUGUUUGAAGACUAG